rnacentral:rRNA from 1 species
UACGGAGGGGGCUAGCGUUGUUCGGAAUUACUGGGCGUAAAGCGCACGUAGGCGGCUUUGCAAGUUAGAGGUGAAAGCCCGGGGCUCAACUCCGGAAUUGCCUUUAAAACUGCAUCGCUAGAGUUGUGGAGAGGUAAGUGGAAUUCCGAGUGUAGAGGUGAAAUUCGUAGAUAUUCGGAAGAACACCAGUGGCGAAGGCGACUUACUGGACACAUAUUGACGCUGAGGUGCGAAAGCGUGGGGAGCGAACAGG